AAAUGUUGUGAUUCAAUAACAUCUUAUACCUUUACCACAAGUGGGAGGGUGAAAAAUUUAAUGGGUUUUAUAGGGAUUGCCAAUUUCCCACAAAAGUCAUGAAACAGCUAUAGGCAGAUUCAAUAGUGGAUAAAAAGAGUCAAACAAUUGAUGAACAAAGGGACCCAUUGUUUUUCAGACAUGAAAGGGAACGACAAGAGAGUCAGCAGCAGCUUUUUGGUGCGUCUCUUUCCCGCUCCCAAACUCAGAAAAGUGGAAAGGGACGAGCCUUAUAUCCACAUCCACAUGUUGUAGGCUCAACUCAUGGGGCUAAAAGCAUGCAUGCCAGACAGACAGGUUCCAUUCAUGUGGUGCUCAAGGAAGGGAAACAGCUUCAGCCAGCCAUAGUUUGCAUUUUGGCGAUGCCAGCUUUAAAGACUGGUGCAAAAAAUUGACAAGUCAGGGGAGAUGGAGGGAUAUGGUCUGUUUUUUACAUUAAAGUCAAAACAAA